CAGCCGCCGCGGUAAUACCGGCGGCCCGAGUGGCGGUCACUAUUAUUGGGCUUAAAGCGUCCGUAGCCGGGUUGGGAAGUCCUCCGGGAAAUCUGGCCGCUUAACGGUCAGAAUGCCGGAGGAUACUCCCAGCCUAGGGAGCGGGAGAGGCCGAGGGGAUUCCCGGGGUAGGGGUGAAAUCCUAUAAUCCCGGGAGGACCACCUGUGGCGAAGGCGCUCGGCUGGAACGCGUCCGACGGUGAGGGACGAAGGCCAGGGGAGCAGACCGGAUUAGAUACCCGGGUAGUCCUGGCGGUAAAGGAUGCGGGCUAGGUGUCGGGUGAGCUGCGGGCUCGCCCGGUGCCGUAGGGAAGCCGUUAAGCCCGCCGCCUGGGGAGUACGGCCGCAAGGCUGAAACUUAAAGGAAUUGGCGGG
rnacentral:rRNA from 1 species